UUCCUAAUACCCGUUUAAAAUCUAUGGGUGAUAGGGCAUUUUCAGCUGUCGCUCCUAGGCUUUGGAAUUCCUUGCCUGCUCCAAUUAGGCAAGCAGAAUCCCUUAGUGUUUUUAAAUCCUCCCUUAAAGCUUAUUUCUUUAGGGUAGCUUUUACUUAAAAUUGAUCUCUCUUUUAACUGACCUACGUUCUUAUUUUGUGUACACUGUAAAUGCAAACAUGGUACUUACUUAAAAAUAGUAAAUUGACCUUAAUCAGUUUUUAUCAACCUGCUUUUAACACUUGCUUUUAGUGAGUUACUUGUACUUUGAGGUUGAAAAAUCUUACCAGCUCAGUCUACUUGAGCUGGAUUCAUAUAGAAAAAGUAAGUUUAUGACAUGUGGACAUGCGCAGAUCAGUCCUCUCUGAAAUGCCUAAACCCAACCAAUCAAGGUGCUUCGUGGGGCGGGUCUUGGCGUUGCGGGAAUCGUAAUUUUGCAGACGGUCGUUACAUGUCACCUUACCACAUGCUGCAAUUGACCGGGUGGAGCUGGACCUAAACAUCGCUUCUACAGCACUUGUGAUUGUCUUCAGCCGAUAUUCUUGUGAUUGGCACACUCAUUUGGCUCAAGCAGAAUGGUAAUCAAUCCUCCUCACAUUCCAUAAUCCCAGCAAUAAAAGAUACUGUGGCCAGUCCAUCAUACCCAGGCUACACUAUCCUAGAUGCCAACCACAAUUGAAGAAAUGAAGAAAAAACUACCAAAUGUGGCUCUCUCAUUUCACAAAUGAUGAACCAAUCAUUCCCACUACGCAGACAAGAAAUUGUAAAAAACAAGGGCCUGCUGUACAGAACAUGGUUGAACGAUGGCCAGCACUUUUCACAGAGAGACAGGUGUUUGCUGAGUUUAAUAGAAUCGGCAGUAAGAACCUUGAGGGAGACUUGAGGCUUGGGACCAGUAUGCCCCACGUUUCAUCGAACUUUUUUAAACAAAAAGGGAACUGUUGGCCAGAAAGUCGAGGAGCUGAUGCAGCUGGCUGACACCAGACGUGACAGUACUUCGCUCAUUUGUCCUCAAAGGCAUUCCCAUUUUACUCUGUGACGACUCCAAUGAAUUCUACAAGCCCUGCUCUGUAAGUACUUGCACAUAAGAAAAAGUUUGGUCUGCAUGAAUAUAAAACUAUACCUGUGUCGGCAUAGAAGAUGUACUUCUAUCUGCUUGAUAUACAAUAUACAUUUUGUACAGUGAUUAAUGUAUUUUGUUUAGCAAUACCUACUAGGGAUGUAACGGUUCACAAAAUUCACGGUUAGCUUCAAUACGAUAUGUAUUGUGCCAUGGUUCAGUAAAUUUUUGAUACAGCAAAAAGAAAUAAAUGCCAGAGAAAUUUCCUUACGAUUGGCAUACGAUAGAGAUUUUAAUUCUAUUGCACUAAUCGCGAUAAUGCAUGUUAAUUACGCAAUCUACCCGCAAA